ACAUUAUGGCUUGUUGACAUGUCCAAAGUUAUUCACAAUAAGCAACCCCUCAUUUCCGUUUAGGGAUUUCGACCAACUACUCUGAUUUGGUAAUUCUGGAGAAUAGCGUUUUGGAGGUUAGUAUGUCGAUUUGGUUGGCUACAUUUACAAAGCCCCACGUUUGAAGUUUUGCCCGAAAAGUGCACACACCUGGUACCGUGGCUCUCGAUCUGCGGGCUUGGUUGGGUCAAUUUGACGCCUGGGGGUUCUGGUCGGUAGUGUGCCAUUGUUGUUACCUUCAUUUUGUGGGAAGUUAUAUGUGAUAUUCUAGUUUUCGAAAUUUGAGGUGUAUGUGUAUGGGGGGGUGUUCAGAGUCAUUGUGUGUCGUGUGUUUGGCGUAAUCGGAUCCCAGAUUUGUUGAUGUAAAUAUGGAAUUGGACAGCUAAUACGUCGUUGAUGCACAUCAAAAAUCCCUCAUAACCCCAUUAACUUUGCAACAAGAAGCGUAUCCCCAAAUUGCAGUGUGAGGGCUGUUAUUAUUGGUGAGGCACAUACGAUUGUUCAACGGUACGUUAGAUGUUAAUGAAGCCGACUUCGAUGAUGACACCGCAAAAGAGUAUGCGAACAUCUAGCACAUGGACAAGAUCAAGGGAGAGGACUCGAUUGUGUGUUAUUGCUAGUUCACCAUCAAAGAACAUUGGGCCAAAGAUUCAAGGUGAAUAACGUUAGCAAAACAUCAAGGGAUUGCUAUUAAGAGGCCAACUUGUGCGCAUGUGUUGGGUGUAGGUACUUGUAUUUCCCUAUGUGCUAUAAAUCGCACUGGACGUUGGUGGUAUACGAUACUGAAGUUGGCACAUGGAAACAUUGAUCUUGAAACAAAGUGUGUUGAACUACAUUCGACAAACUCGCCAAUCAACCAUGAAUGAUGUCAUGGUGUGUACACAGGAUUGUGACGUGGUACUAAAGGCAGUAAAUGAAUCCCCACAGCAGCGACUGGAAUCGUGAAAUUCAUGCAUAAAAACAAUGGAAAGAACUACCAGCAUCAAAGCAUGUGCGACUAUGGUGGAAGAGUUUGUGGAUGAUCCUGUAAAGGAGCUGAAAGAUAUGGGAAGUGAAUAGCAUGGCUAAUGUCCAAGCAUUAUGGUUUUUUUUUUUUUUUCCCUUUUUUUUUGAAUGGUUGCUUUAGUUUUGAUUGGGAAUUAUGAAGUAUGUUAUCGGAAAACAGUUUGACGUUACAUUUGUUUGCUUGGUAAUGUAGAUGUUGGUUUUUUGUGUGCCCGACACAUUGC